ACAGGACUGAGGGUAGGAGGACUUAUGCCAUAUUCUACACGUUCAGUUUGGCCAUAUGAUCUCCAAUCCUGGUGUAAAUUAAGCAGUGUGAGCUAUACGCUGCCACUAGUCAAGCUUACAGCUCCAAAUGGGAUGGAUAAAACACAAUGCUUUUGCUGACUUGUUGAGAAGGUAACUGAUGAAGGUUCAUCUGACAGCCACUGAGGCAAAAGACCACUUCCAUUGUGAAUGAUGAUCGUUGGGACAGCUACCCUUUGUGGUCUAGGAAAUUACAAAGGAAAGUAUUAUUUCGUUAAAAUCGCUUACUGCUUUAGUUUUUCUUAUUACUUCUGUAUUAUUAUUCCACACUUGACUUUAAUCAUACUGGUUCUAAUUCAGAUGAAGAAUUGGAUCAACAGACGUGCAAGUAGAACUCUGCUCACACAGUGGGGUUUUCCUUGUCCCCCCCCCACUGCAGCUCCAUGGUCCCCUAAAGUCACUCAUAAAGGUUGAGGAACUCUCUGUAAUGACAUGGGGGGCUGGAGAGAGGUGGAGAAAUCUUCAGAAUUCAGGGAGGCUGCUUUGCUCAUGUAGAAAUGCCUUUCUGCUUCUGCAGUAUGCCUGUGGAUCCAAGCUAGCAUUUAUUUAAA